rnacentral:rRNA from 1 species
GCGUGUCCUGUCUUGRGGGAUGGSCCWGCUUARGGAAAAUUAAUACCGUAUCCGCUCUGAGGAUGAAAGCGGGGGCUCCUUCKGGACCUCKGGCUUCSGGGGUGGCCUAUGGAUGAUUCCCURGUUGGUGGGGUAAAGGCCUACCAAGGCGACGAUCUGUGGCUGGWCUGAUAGGACAACCAGCCGGCUGGGACUGASACUGGGCCUGACUCCUACGGGAGGUYCUGUGGGGAAUUUUGGACAAUGGGUUCAAGCCUGAUCCAAAAUGCCSCGUGUGUGAAGAAGGCCUUCGAUGUUGUAAAGCACUUUUGUCCGGAAAGAAAACCUCAGAAGAAAUACGGCGGGGGGAUGACGGUACCCGAAGAAUAAGCACCGGCUAACUACRUGCCUAACUACGCGGCAAUACGUAGGGUGCUAGCGUUAAUCGRAAUUACUGGCCGUAAAGUGUGCGCAGGMGGUCCGCUAAGAC